rnacentral:rRNA from 1 species
AUGGUGGUGCGCCCCUCACCAUCACACCAUCACCACCAUCGCCGCCACCCACGACCAUCUCCACCACGCACCACCAGCACCACUUCCCACGAGACGCACCUCACACCACCACCGACACCGCGCCAUCUCCAUCUUCGCCGCCGCUCCACCGCUCGCACGAUCUCUUCUUCCCCUGCUGCUCCUCCCUUCUCCUCACGUCCCUACUGCUCUUCCUUCUCCAAAUCCCCAAACUGCUGCUCCCCCUCGUCCCUACUGCUGCUACUCCACUUCCUCUGCUCCCCUUCUUCUUCUCUGAAUCUCGCUGCUGCUCCUCCUCCUCUUAAAACUGCUGCUGCUCCCUCUCCCACUUUUCUCGCUGCUGAGGCUUCUUUCUGUACCUCUGCUGCUGAUCUUCUUGUGCUCAUGUUGCUGCUCCUCUGA